UCUUCUAAAUCUAGAAUUUAUACAUUGACAUGAAAGAAAUAAAAAGUGGAGAUCUUUAUGUAAUUCUGCUUAAUUACCUAGAAUUUGAAAACAUACAAAAACAAAUGAAAUUCAUUGCUUAUAGGCUUAGGUAGCGGCUACUAGUUAUCUUAUCAAACGAAACUAAUUAUUAAAAUAAACAAUUAAAGAUUGAAUAAAACCUCGCGAAAUCGCGAGUCAGCGAAAACUUAUUCGUCUUCACUUGAUAAAGACAGUCGUGAUAUUAAUAUUACUGUGAUUUUAAAUUAAUUAAUUAGUAUCGAUAAUAAUUUCUAAGGAACUAUAGGCGACAAGGCGACAAUAACUCACAAAUCCGCAACAUACCGCCUCCCUCGUUAGCAAAGUUCCAAUUUUAAAUUCAUCGCGAGUCAUUUGCUGUUGCGAUCGCUGCGCGGGACACAUGACGUCAUUAGUCACAAGGAGUAUACUGUGCGAGUGGGUUUGAUACUUUUUGCAUUUUAAGUUUAAAAAAUGUUUUUAUUUAUUUAUUUUUUAUUUAAAGGCACUAAAGCUACUGGAUUGAUUUGGAAAAUUCUGUCACUAUUAGAAAACUUCCCGAGUAACACAGGAAAUAUUUUUUCCUGGUACGGGCUGUAGUUCCCAUGGCAUGCGGGUCUCAUUAAAUGUACACCUGUACCUGAUUAAUUUA